GUGGAAAGGACAGCAUAUAGAUAGCACACAAGUUAGAUAGAGGCAGACAAAUAAAAAAUAAGGAAAAGAACAGCACGUAUAACAAGAGAUCUCCUUUUGCUGUAUCUGCUGGUGCUGGACAACAAAACUACCAUGCCAGUUUUGGUUUCUAGGGGUCUGUUGGGAACCAUGCGAAGGGAAACCUGUGUCACCUGACCUCUUCAGGACAUGAGGACCACAAGGUAGCCACUGUAUGAGACAUGUCUAAAUGCCUCCAGAUCUGGUGUUAAUUCAUAGAUUCUCUAAAAAGGGAAUUGAUGCUGCUGAGACCCUCCCUAGAGAAGCAGAGCUCCUCCAGCCUUUGUUCAGAGCCCUGCCUCACACCUACUGACUUCAGAAUGGCAUUCUGGGAUGAAUAAUAAUGCUUAAUGUCUGAAGUUUUUAAUAGAUUAUCUGUUCAUCAUUAUUGUUUCUAAAUUGUAAAAAAGCUAUACCUAGCCAAAUUGUCAAAUGUAUGUGUGAGUCUGUAUAUAUUGUAUAAAUUAGAUGUGGCACAUGAUUCUAGUAUGGUCACGAUCACAGUGUCAAGCACAGAGCAAUGCUAAUCUUUGUAAACCUCUGAAUUGCCACGGUUAUACCUCAGUUGUGUAUCUGUUGUACAGUUCCAGUGAGGAUGAAAUAUUCCAAAUACUUUUAUGUAGAAAAAACAAAUGUGUAGUCUUGUGCAUGACAGGAAGUCUUGUAGAUGAACUGGAGAUGAUGCCUAGCUUGCCAAUUAAAAUUCCUGUAACCACUGCGUGUGAGGUCUGUAGGACUGUUUCCCUUGCUGAUCUUGUUGCAUGGAAACUGAGCUCAUCCCAAGAGUCUGUACUGUAGAGAAUGAGGAGCAAACCCUGACUAUGAUGUGCUCUGGAAUCUUUGUUGCACCUUUCUCUUCCUUCAGAGAAUUGCACGCUGCCUUAAGUUGCAUCUCACAGUCUGUAACCUGAGUGUCAAGUGGCACUUGCCAGGUCUUAGGUUUCAUAAUAACUUUUUUUUUCCUUUGUAGAAAGAAAGAUACAGGGAGAAUAAACCCUGGUAUCAAAAGAGUGCUUGGCUUAGUUCUUACAGCAGUAUUUUUUAUUUUUUGUCUUUUUCCCUAAGUGGAUUUAUCUGAUACGCAGGGCAUUAGUAUUAUUGCCAGGAGGGGACAGAAUUAUAGUUAGACCAAACAUCUUCUGGAUUAUCAGUUUUCUCUCGAGAGGGAAUGAUGCCAACUAAUGCUGGAGCAUAUGUAGUGGAAAUGAGAAACCAUGAGCCAUGCCUUUACACUGACUGUGAAAUGAACCACCACUGGGAAAUACAAGUUCCAGCAAUGCUGGAAGCAUGAGUCUGGUCUGAACACUCUUCCCCAAAGGGAGAUCCUAUUGAAACAUCAUGACAUAAUGUUGCAAGAGGAAUAAAAUUACUAUGCAAACCACCAAGCUAAAGGGGAAUAACCAACUGCUGUGUCAUUAGGCCUGACUGAAAUGACUAGUUUGCUCCUGGGGAAUUGGAAACAGAAUAUCAGUGGCAAGAGAUAGGAAAUGUGUUUGGUUUUUUCCCCUCCAAGAACAUGUUUCAGAAGAGAUGCUUCACAGCAGGAGGGUAAAAGCCUUUCAGGAGAAGAAAACUUCAUAGCAAACAAUAGCAACUCUUUAAAAACUUGCAUGUAAUUCUUGCUUUCUACCUGUUUAGGUAAAUAAAUGUGG
rnacentral:lncRNA from 1 species